rnacentral:misc_RNA from 1 species
AAAAUUUCAUCCAACUCUGAUGAUUCUGUUUCUUUGGAGGCAUCUGCUGGUCCAGAGGAAGCUCUUUCCGAAUCCUUGAGCAAUUCAUUUGGAGCUGGUAGCUAUGCCAGAAGAAUGUUGGAAAACAUGGGCUGGAAGGAGGGAGAGGCACUUGGCUGCAGCAACAAAGGGUUGAUUGAACCUUUACAGGCUACGGGAAACAAAGGUUCUGCUGGGCUGGGUUGGAACGAUGAGCGAAGAAAGCAGUCCAUGUACAGUUAUAAAAAACGAGAGAU